rnacentral:tRNA from 2 species
GCGGACGUGGCGAAAUUGGUAGACGCACGGGACUUAAAAUCCCUCGCCCUUUGGGUGUGCGGGUUCGAGUCCCGCCGUCCGCACCA